ACCCCAUUAUCCUCAACCAUUGGAUAAGAAAUAGAAAUAAGAAAUUUAUAUCUAACACGUGAAAGGAAUGACCAUGUUGGUAGUGGUCCUGCCUCUUUGAAUACCGAAUUUCCACAAGCAUAUUCUUUUUUUUUUUUUAAUAAAAUGAUGGUGAUAACCACAUUUAUAUCCCAUACUAUUAUUAUAAAUCUAAUAUGUAGUUUAUUUAUUUUGUUUUAUUCUAAGAGGCCAAAAAUAGCUUUAAAUGUUUUUUUUUUUUGAGAAACUCAAUUUAAAUUCUUUUUAAAUAAUCAAGUUUUAACGAAUUUUUAAUUACAAACAAGGGCGAAGCCAAAAUGAAUGUUCAGUGAGUUCAAAAAGAGCCAUAAUUUAUAUUUAGCGGGGUCAAAAGUGCUAAAAUUUAUGUUCAAUGGGGGAAAAAUUAUAUUUAUGAUAAAUAUUAUUAGAAAAAAUAAUAUAUUUUUUUUCAGUGGAGUCAAUUAACCUCACUUGUCCUCAUGUGGCUCCGCCCAGACUACAACAAACACCCAUGACACUAUCUAUGUACAGUCUCUACCUUAGUAUUAUUAUGGUCUUUCGCCCAAGAAAGGUGAACAAAAUAGUCAUAUUCAUACUUGAUAUAAAAGCAUAGGAGGUUGAAUGAUAGAAUUAAAUGUGAAUAGCGUAAAUUGAAACUUUGAUGAAAGUGCAAGGGUAAAAAGUGUUAGUAACCAUUCCUAAGUGAACUCACUCACAACUACUGGGUGUUACAAAGUUGUACUACAAGUGAGCUUGUAGUACAAAGUACAAACUGUAAUGGUUCAUUAACUUAUAAAACUUAACACAAUUUAUAUAUAAGAGUGGGGGAGUGAGAGAGAGGAUGAUCAGGGCGGUUUUCGACAUUUGGGUUGUCUUAAUCCAAUUUCAAUAUAGUUACUUUCGUACUAUUAAAUUUCUUUCUUGAAUUUAAAUUUUUUUUGGAGGGCCUGAUGUUUGUUCUGCUUUGGGGUUGUCCAAAUCCAAUGCUUUGCUGGGCUUACCCCAAUACCGGCACGAGGAUGACAAGAAUUAGCAUCGGAAAAAAUCCAACGUAGAAUUUUUCUUCAAACUAUUCUAGCAGCAGCAAGAGUCGUAAAUGGAAAGGUCGUUUGCCAAGGACGUACAAGGUAAUUUACAGAACAAAUCCUUCCCAAGUAAGGCGGUUGUUUUUAUUUACUCUAUUUUUCUUCCCAAGUAAGAUAAGUUACAGAACAAAUCCUUCCCAAGUAAUCAAAUUUAACCAUUAGAUUACAAUUUAUGUGGACCACACACCUUUGAAAAGAUAAAAAUAAUAUUUUUGGAGAAAAAAAUAGUCUCAGGUCAGUCAUUAGAUUAAUUCAAAUGGAUUUUAACCAUAAAUAAUGGGAGAUAAUUUAAAAUAUUUAAAAACAGUUGUGUCUUAUGUACAAGUCUUAAUUCGUUUAUCAAUCCUUUGAAUACUUGAAUAUUUAUAUAUUUUUAUAUAUUUUAAAUGACAAAUACAAAUACGAUAGAUUCAAACACAGAUGCUGACGUGUCAAACACAUCUCAUUCUGUAGAAAACAAAUUAAACUAGCUAAGUUAAUAUGUGUACAUGUCCUAUUCAUUUUUCAAUUUUGUGAAUACUUGGAUAUUUAUUAUUUUUUAUAUAGUUUAAAUGACAGAUAUAAAUAUGGCAGAUCGACAGAUACUAUGUGUCACACAUCUCAGUCUACAAGAAAACAAAUUAAAUCAGCUAAGAUGAUAUGUGUUUGACACAUCAACAUCUUUAAAUUAAACCAAUUGAAUUAAUACGUGCGUGAAUCUGUAAUUUAUAUCUAUGCACCUAAGGGUAUGUUUGGCUGGUGGAUUAGGAGGGGAUAACUUUUUUCCUCGGAUAAUUUUUUCCCCCGCGUUUGGCUGGCGGAUAUGGGCGGAUAUGGAGGCGGAUAUAUAAAUUUUUCCCCCGGAUAAUUUUUCCCCUAGCAGGUGGAUAGAGGCGAAAAUGUUUAGGUGACCUAGAACCCUAACAAAAGUUAUCCGGGAAUAAGGGGGGUGGGGAUAGAAAAAAUAUAUAUAAAGAGAAACAAGGUUAAUUUUUUUUUAUAUAUAUAGAAAAAAAUAAACAUAUUAGAUUUUUAAUAUCAAGAUAUUUUACAUUUGUUUCUCUCAAUAUCUGUACUCCUUGUAUAUCACACCUUAUCCACUCAUUCUAAAAAGUAUCAAAAAUAAAGUUAAAAGUUAUCUCCCUUCAAAACUUAUUCCCCUUCUAAAAAUUAUUCUCUCUAAAAGUUAUUCUCCUCCGAUCCUCUAGCCAAACGGACCCCUAACCUCAAUCCAUCCCCCCUAGAAGGGUAACCUGGCUAUGAAAUUUCCAAAUUUAUAUAGCCAUUGGUCCAAAUGCAUUUAUGAAGGGCCCACAACAUUAAAUUCUAUGUUUUGAGGUUAACCUCAACUUGGCUAAAGCCGCUUCCCACGUGAUCCCGUGGAUGACCAAAUUGAAUGGUUGACAAUUCAUAGGAGGAUAGUUUUCGCAAACUUUGGUUUUUUCGAAUUGCACUUUUUUAUAUUUUUAUUAAAUAAAAUUACUUAAAUAUAUUUUUAUAUUAUUAAAAAUAAAAUAAUACAAAAUAUAAAAGUAUUUGGAUAAUUUUAUCUACUAAAAAAGAAAGUGCAAAUUAAAGAAACAGAAAUAAAAAAAUCAAGGACGGCCAUGUACCUAGAGUGAGUACAUUAAUAGAUAUCAGGUUCUAAGUUGCGCUAGCUAAAUUAAUUCAAUUUUAAAUUUAUUUAUAAUUUUUUUUACCUGAUUUUAUUAUUUUUAAUGAUUAAAAUUUCAUUGUUUUUUAUCAAAAUUAUUUAUCUUUGUCUUUUAGAUAAUUUGUUGAGUAUAACUUUAAUUUUUUAUAUUUUAAAAUUAUUUUUGUUAAGAGAAAUUAAAAAAUUAAAAAAUUUAAUUUAACGAUAAAAAAAUGACUAAAACAAAAGCUAACAAAACAAAAUAACUAUGCAAGACAAAGGCCGGCGGCCGGCCCCCUAUUGAAAAAUAGGCAUGCAUAAAGACAAGGGCAGCGCUAGCUAGACACGGUGCAUACUUGGCAGAGAUUAUUGUACGAUUUUUUUUGUUUUAAAAAUUGUAUCAGAGUAUUUGAUAUAAUUUUUAUUUUUAUUUUUAUUUGUGAAUUAAGAAUAAUUUAUAAAAAUUAAAAAAUAACUGAUUUUUUGAAAGCUUUAUUAUGAAAUUUUUCAAGUUAUGUUCAAUUGUAUUAAACACCCUCAUAAAAUAUGAAGUCUAUUCAUUUAAGGUGUGUUUGGAUAAAAAAUUUAUUAAAAAGAAAAAAGAAAAAGCUCCGGACUAAAUUAAAUUUUUGAGCGAUUGGAUUUACAAUGUUUCUUCUUUAAUUUUUUUUUUCCUUCAUUAAAUUGUUAAUAUUGAUAAAAAGAAUUUUUUUUAAAUUUAGGAUAUUACUAAUUUGACUGCUGUGUAAUUCACACUUCGUCUUGGUAAUUAGUUACUCCCACCCCUGACAACCCCACCCCUUAACGUGACUAAUAAAUUUUUUUAAUUUUUUACUUUUACCAUAAUUCCCCUACCAACUUCCACUUUACCAUUAACCAUUUAAUUCUUUUUUUUUUAAUACCACUGUUAUUUAUUAAAAAGAUAUUCAAAAAUUUUUAAUUUCUUUUAAUUUUAGCUUCCGAAAUUUUAUAAUUUCUUUUACUCCCACCUUAUAUUUUUAUAAAAAUAAAAAAUAUAGAGCAAGAUCUGUAAUAAUUUUUUAAAUUUUCUCUCAAUUUAUAAAAUUUAAUGCAAAACUAAUUAAUAUAUAUUUUUUUAAAACACUAAAGCGAAACAUUUAGAAUUUAUUCAACUAAAUAAAUUUCACUCAACUACAUAAAUUUUUUUUAAAACACUAAAGCGAAAAAAAAAAUAUCUGGAUUUUUAGCUUUAAUUUUUUUAUCUUAAAAAAUUUAUGUUAAUUAGUUUUGUAUUAAAUUUAUAAAUUGAGAGAAAUUUUUAAAAAAAAAUUACAGAUUUUGAUCCAUAUUUUUUUCUUUUAUAAAAAACUAGAUGUGGGAGUAAAAGAAAUUAUAAAAUUUUAUUAUAAAAAUUUUUUUAUAUAAAAAUUUAGAAGGUGAAAGUAAAAAAAAAUUAAAAAUUUUUGAUUAAAUUUUUUUUAAUAAAUAACAAGAAGGUAGUAUUAAAAGGAAAAAAAAUUAAUAGGUGAGAGAGAGAUGAGAGAGAUAAGAAGAAGGGUAAAAUUGAAAAAAAAAAGAAUUUUAUGGCACAUCAUCCCCCCCUGUCAGGGGGAUUGGGGAAAACAGUUCUCUUCAUCUUGGCACCACCAGGCCUGAAUUGGGACCAAAGUUACCAAAACACCCUCAUGAUCAUCCUUAGCCCUCAAAGUCCUAGAACAAUGAAAAGAUAUAUUUCAUACAUACAAUAAUACACUUGUGAUAGCAAUAUCCAUGACUCAUCGCAAGCACAUAUCUAGACAAAAAUUCAAGAAGAAAAAUGUUACUUUACUUAAAAUAUAUAUCAUAAUAUGGUACUAAAAGAUUCACAAUUAAUCAUGUUAUUCGGUAUUCAUCGGUUUUCAAGUCCUCUAACAGGUUAGUUAUCCCCAACCUGAGGCAGGUCUUGAUCUUUGUGGGGCCUUCCUUGUGCCUAUGUGGCGCGUGGACGAAGCUUCCCAUGAACCUAGAGUCCUCGGUCGGAUCGUCCUUGUCGUUGAUGAGCACAUCGAAUUGAAAUUCUACCUUGGAACCUUUUUGAAAAGAUGAGUUCCGACAAGGUUGAAUAUUGAAUUCCAACUAAUCACUAAUAAUUCUAUGUACUAACAAAAAAAGAUGAUAAUAAUAAUAAUAAUAAUAAUAUAAUUAUUUUAAAAAAUUCCCCAUAAAAAGAAAACGAACUUAUGAAAUUUUAGGUCCAAUUUUACCUCAGUGGUGGUUGAUGUUUUUUCUGCUGCCAUGGCCAAUUGCCUCCUCCUUCCUGGGCACUUUCAAACUGAUGGAGGAUCUGAACUGGAUUGCUGGACAGCACCAUUAAAGUCAAUGCAACAUCAAGGGAAAAAGAUUAGGUCAAAUUAAUAAAAUACUUAAUGGUGGGAACUGGCUCAAACUAUUACUUUAUAUAUUACUUUGGAGAAAACUCAUUUCAGUGGCAUAUUGAGAAAAAUAUAUCAAAUUAGAUGUAUAAUGCAAAAUUAUCUCCAAUAAAUGGAGACGCAGACAUCUAAAAUAAUAUUAUAAAUAUGAGAUUAUUCGUUAAAUGGCGCCAAUGAAGUGAGUGGAAUGAUUGUCUGAUGCAAAUAAAAAAGUGAAUAGUUGAAUAUUUUUUUAGGUAAAACACUUGCAUCUCACACUUAUUUUAUUUGUACGAGAUAGAUAAUUUAUUUACACUCAGUCUUAUAUUUUUUUAGAAAUUCGUUUAGUUGACGUUUCUUAAAACUUAUUUUUUUGAUAGUUUUUUUAAAUAAUUAUUUUUGAGAAAACAUUAGAUAUACGUUUUUAAAUUCUUGAAAACUAUUUUUAUUAGAAACUAAAUAACAUAUGAAAAAGGUAAAUGUUUAGAGCAUUCAUAUUAGUUUUACUAUUUAUUCAUUCUAUUUUUAAGAAUUUUUUUCAACCAUCAUAUUUGUUAAAUGGUCAUAUUAUUCCAACGGCGAUAUUUUUUAAAUGAUAUAUUUUUAAAAUGGUUAUAUUUUUAAGAAUGUCGUAUUAUUCAAACGGUUGUAUUUUUUAAAAUAUAUUUUAAAAUGAACAUUUUUUUGACUCAUAUAUUUUUAAUUAAAUGGUAUACAGAUAAAAAAACUAAUUUUAAAAAAUAAAAUAAUUUAAAAUAAAUAUUUUCAAUAAUUAAAUUAUUAAAUAUUAACUUUUAUCCAACUUGAUACCUAGCAGCCUAUCCUCUUACAGCGUCGGCAAAGACUAUGAAUUCUUGGGGACCGCAAAACUUACCCUGAUCCGACUAUAGCGCAUAUGUUCAAUAAUCAUGUUUAAUAAAUACAAAGUCUACUAGUGUAAGAAAUUAAAAUUAUAUCAUUUUUCAUAGUCAAGACAAAAGUAUUAAAAUUUUGCGCUCCAGUCUUACUGAUAGUGUAUCUAGUUUCAUCUAAGAUUUUGAACAAUAUAAGUCUAAUCUUUCGUGUGUAAGCAGUAUUCUUCUACACGUCAAAUUAUCUAUUUUUUAGAAUAAGAGACAUCCAUGCUUAAGUAUUAAAUAAAUAAUACAAAUACAAACAUUACUUACACAAAUUAUUAUUAUAAUGGAAUAAAUAAUUUAUUAAUAACACUAAAUUCAUUAAUAAUUGAAUAGUUUCUAUGAGUGAGUUGUCAAAUAAAACCUUAUCUAGUCCAGAUUGGGAUGGGCCCACUCCCUUAUCGUCAACCAUCGGAUGAGAAAAUCUAACACGUGAAAGAAAUAUACCAUACUGGUAGUGGUCCUGCCUAGGGAUGGCAACGGGCCGGUUGGGCCUCCCCCACCCCCACCCCGACCCCGUUUAUCAAAACUCACUCCCGCCCUCGCCCCACCCCGCCCCAUUUAGUAAUUUUAUUAAUUAUAUAUAUAUUUUUUUAUAUAAUUAUGGUAUAAUAUAUAUAUAAUAAGGAUAUUAUGAUAAUUUUUUAAAAAUCUGAUUAAUUUUUAUUUUUUUAUAUAAAUCGGGGAAACUCGGGCGGGUUUCGGGGUUGGAGGAGGCUUUUACCCCGCCCCGCCCGUGUAAUCGGGUGUUAAUUUUUUCCCCAAACAGCCCUAAAACGGGACCGGGGCCUGACGGGACGGGUUCUUAGGGUCAAAUUGCCCAUCCCUAGUCCUGCUCUUUGGUACCCGAAUUUCCACAAAGCAUAUUCUUUUUUUUUUUAAAUAAAAUGAUGUGAUGGCCACAUUAUUUAUGUGCUUAUGCUAAGAUGCCAAAAUUAGCUUUAAAUUUUUUUUUGAGAAACUCAAUUUAGAUUCUUUUUAACUUUUAAUUUAAAUAGUCAAGUAUUAACGAAUAUUUAGCUACAACAAACACCCAUGACUAGAUUUAUAGUCUCUACCUUAGUAUUAUUAUGGUUUUUCGCUCACGAGAGCCAAAAUGAAUAUUUAGUGGGAUCAAAAAAAUUAAAAUUUAUAUUUUGCGAGAUUAAAAGAGUUAGAAUUUAUGUUCAGUGGGGUUAAAAUUAUAAAAUAUAUAAAUUUUAUAAUAAAUUAUUAAUUUUUGUAAGGUCAAAAUUAUAUUUAUGAUAAAUUAUAUUAAAAAAAAUGAUAUAUUUUUUUUCAAUGGGGUCAAUUAACCCCACUUGCUCCUACAUGACUCCGACACUACUUUCGCCCAAGGUGAACAAAAUGAUUAUAUUCAUAUUUGACUUAAAGUAUAAAAUGUUAAUUGACAAAAAUUAAAAGUGAAAAGCAUAAAUUGAAACUUUGAUGAAAGUGAAAGGGUAAAAAGUGUAAGUAACCAUUCUUAAGUGAACUCCCAACUACUGGGUAUUACAAAGUUGUACUACAAAUGAGCUUGUAGUACAAAGUACAAACAGAGAUGGUUCAUUAAAUUAUAAAACCUAACACAAUCCCUAUAUGGCAUUGGAAAAAAACUGUCGAAGAUUUUUCUUCAACCUAUUCUAGCAGCAGCAAGAUUCGUAAAUGGAAAGGUCGUUUCUUUGUUAGCAUUCAAGCCAAGGGCGUACAAGGUAAUUUACAGAACAAAUCCUUCCCUGAUUGUUUUUAUUUACUCUAUUUUUCUUCCAAAGUAAGGUAAUUUACGGAACAAAUUCUUCUCUUGUAAGGUAUUUUAGUCAUUAGAUUACAACUUAUGUAAGCUCUACACUUAAUAAGAAAGUGAUAUUUUUUGAGGAAAAAAAUAGUUUCAUGCGAAAUCUCAGCUAGUGGAUUAACUCAAAUAGAUUCUAACAGUUUGAAAGAUAAUUUAAAAAAUUUAAAAAUAUUUAUGUUUUAUAUUAUAGAUAUGUACAAGUCUUAAUUCGUUUAUCGAUCCUUUGAAUACUUGGAUAUUUAUAUAUUUUUUUAUAUUUUAAAUGACAGAUACAAAUACGAUAGGUUCAAACACAGAUGUUAAUGGGUCAAACACAUCUCAUUCUAUACAAAAACAAAUUAAACCAGCUGGGUUAAUAUGCGUACAAGUCUUAUUCAUUUUUCAAUUCUUUGAAUACUUGGAUAUUUAUAUAUUUUUUAUUUAUUUUAAAUGACAGAUAUAAAUACGGCAAAUAGACAUAUACUAAAUUAUAUGGUGUGCAUUUGGAUUAAAGAUUCAACAACUUAUACUAUUAAAUCGUUGAAUACAUAGCCCGAGAGGCUUGUUCAUCACAAGUGGCUUACAGUACGAAAAACAAAUGAAAUAAGAAAAAUGCUACUUCUACAUAAACCAUACAUAAAAAAUCUCACAAAACGAUGCAAUGGUGACUUAUUUUAUUUUUAAAUGAAACAUGGAUUCACGUUCU
rnacentral:lncRNA from 1 species